ACCUCUAGCAUUACUAGUAUUAGAGGCACUGCCUGCCCAGUGACACACGUUUAACGGCCGCGGUACCCUGACCGUGCAAAGGUAGCAUAAUCACUUGUUCUUUAAAUAGGGACUCGUAUGAAUGGCACCACGAGGGUUUAACUGUCUCUUACUUUCAACCAGUGAAAUUGACCUGUCCGUGAAGAGACGGACAUGAAACAAUAAGACGAGAAGACCCUGUGGAGCUUCAAUUUAUUAGUACAACUAAAAACCGUACAAACCAACAGGUCCUAAACCCCUACAUCUGUGCUAAAAAUUUUGGUUGGGGCGACCUCGGAGCACAACUAAACCUCCGAAUAAUCCACGCUAAGACUACACAAGUCAAAGCAAACUGACACUUACAAUUGACCCAAUAAUUUGAUCAACGGAACAAGUUACCCCAGGGAUAACAGCGCAAUUCUAUUCUAGAGUCCAUAUCAACAAUAGAGUUUACGACCUCGAUGUUGGAUCAGGACAUCCUGAUGGUGCAGCAGCUAUCAAG
rnacentral:rRNA from 1 species